CAGGUUCUAUUCGCGCCGUGGAAGAAACCCGGCGUCUGCGAGUGAAUGUUUGGGCUGUCUGUCCUGCCUGCAUCCGAGUGUAAAGGGCCCGUCUCACCUCUGGUCAAAGAGCAUCUCGGAGCUGUCAUGGCCCACCUGCCACACGGGAGGACCCUUCCUCCAGACCUGAGCAUCACCCACGAGGCACCUGGACAGGAGAGAGCAUUGUGAAAGUGCAGCGGCUGAUGUGAGGAAGCCAAGCUCCACCCAUCCAUCUUCUACCGCGUUAUCAGCACAUCACAUGAUGGUGAGAAGCUCUCAAAUGUUAAAUGUCUUUAAAACAAUGAGCAAAACAGAGCA